CGGAAAUGGUGGAUAAGGUGUAUUUUAGCAAUAAAAAACCCCACCAUAUUUUGUUUAUGAUUUUAGGUCUAAAGUAUAUUCGUACGUAUCAACAAAACUACUAAGGUUAUCUACAGCCGAAGCAAAUGAUUACAAAUUACUUAAACUGCUCUAUUGAAGCCUUUCCAUUUGACAUGAUGGGUUACAUCUUGCAAGACCUGAAGCUG